CGUGAGCAAUCUGCCUUGGAGUGGGGAAUAACGGCUGGAAACAGCCGCUAAUACCGCAUGACGCGUCUGGGAGGCAUCUCUCUGGACGCCAAAGAUUUAUCGCUCUGAGAUGAGCUCGCGUCUGAUUAGCUAGUUGGCGGGGUAACGGCCCACCAAGGCGACGAUCAGUAGCCGGACUGAGAGGUUGGCCGGCCACGUUGGGACUGAGACACGGCCCAGACUCCUACGGGAGGCAGCAG
rnacentral:rRNA from 1 species